AUAAAAGUUGUCAGUAGCAGAGGGAAGCAUGAAGUGCUGUAAGAUUUCUCAGGAAAACCAAACUGCACUGACUUUAGACUUGAUAAUAAAACACACUGGAUCAACACCAGCAGAUGACAUGUCUCUCCAAUUUGUAGGAUAACGUCCUGCAUGAAGGAAAGCUUUUGAGGGAGGUGAACAGUCUUUCUGAGAAGAACCACCAGUUAAAGAACAAGGUACAGGAGCUGAAAGUAGUAUGUUUUUGUUUGCACUUGUUUUGUGGUGUGUGUGUGUGUGUGUUAAUGUGAUGUGUGUAUUCUUGUGCUAGCUAGAAGAGCGUGAGCGACGCUGCAAAUCUCAGCAAGAUCAAAUCUUCGAGCUGAAGCAAGAGCUCACAAACUCCACUGCAGAGCUGAAACUACGCUUAGCCCAGGCUGAAGGUACCAUCAUCUCACAUCUUCUUGUCUCUCUCUUUAACACAUUCACACACACUCACACACUCACACACACACAGUAUCUCAGACAGAUGUUGUUUCAUCAGGGUGCUUUCUUAACAGAGCGCUUGGACAUGGAGAAGAGAAGAGCCAAGCAGGCUCUUGAAGACAUGGACAGUUUACGGCAGAAAGAGGUAGAUCACAUUAACAGGCAUCUGGAAGAAAGUGAGAGAGCACUACAAGAUCGUAUUCUCAAACUGGAGGGUCAGCGGAUCCAGCUGGAGGAGGCAAGAUUAAAUCACCUUUUAGAACUUUUGACCUGGACUAAAUGCUUUAUGAGAGAGACAGGAUUUACUUAGUUUUGAGCUGACCAUCUUGCUUUAUUUUCACGCAGGAGCUGAGCCGAGUGAAGGCCGCUAUAGUGACGGAGAGAGCACAGGCAGAGGAAGAGCUCGGGAAAGUGAGAACGCAAGUGCGGCUGGAGGAGGUACAGAGCUCCACCAAUAGAGCUGAAUUACCCCUAUAGACUGAUAUAGGCUAAAUGUGUGGGGCUAAAGUGCUGUAGGCUGGAAAGGAGUCAAGGGUCAAUAUUUAAUUGAAGAUUGUAUAGCUCUGGAGCAAAAAUAAGAGAUCACUUCAGUUUCUAAAACAUUUGUUGUUUUAUUCUAUAAACUAAACACAACAUUUCUACCAAAUUCCAAAUACAAAUAUUGUCAUUUAUAUAGAGCAUUUAUAUGCAGAAGAUGAGAAAUGGCUGAAAUAACAAAAAAGAUGCAGAGCUUUCAGACCUUAUAUAAUGCAAAGAAAACAAGUUCAUAUUCAUCAAGUUUGAGAGUUGAGAAAUCAAUAUUUG
rnacentral:lncRNA from 1 species